AUUGAACGCUGGCGGCAGGCUUAACACAUGCAAGUCGAGCGGGGGAAGGUAGCUUGCUACCGGACCUAGCGGCGGACGGGUGAGUAAUGCUUAGGAAUCUGCCUAUUAGUGGGGGACAACAUCUCGAAAGGGAUGCUAAUACCGCAUACGUCCUACGGGAGAAAGCAGGGGAUCUUCGGACCUUGCGCUAAUAGAUGAGCCUAAGUCGGAUUAGCUAGUUGGUGGGGUAAAGGCCUACCAAGGCGACGAUCUGUGGCGGGUCUGAGAGGAUGAUCCGCCACACUGGGACUGAGACACAGACCAGACUCCUACGGGAUGCAGCAGUGGGGAAUAUUGGACAAUGGUGGGAACCCUGAUCCAGCCAUGCCGCGUGUGUGAAGAAGGCCUUAUGGUUGUAAAGCACUUUAAGCGAGGAGGAGGCUACUCUAGUUAAUACCUAGGGAUAGUGGACGUUACUCGCAGAAUAAGCACCGGCUAACUCUGUGCCAGCCGCCGCAGUAA
rnacentral:rRNA from 1 species